UAUACUGCAUGUCGAGCGAACUGAUUAGAAGCUUGCUUCUAUGACGUUAGCGGCGGACGGGUGAGUAACACGUGGGCAACCUGCCUGUAAGACUGGGAUAACUUCGGGAAACCGAAGCUAAUACCGGAUAGGAUCUUCUCCUUCAUGGGAGAUGAUUGAAAGAUGGUUUCGGCUAUCACUUACAGAUGGGCCCGCGGUGCAUUAGCUAGUUGGUGAGGUAACGGCUCACCAAGGCAACGAUGCAUAGCCGACCUGAGAGGGUGAUCGGCCACACUGGGACUGAGACACGGCCCAGACUCCUACGGGAGGCAGCAGUAGGGAAUCUUCCGCAAUGGACGAAAGUCUGACGGAGCAACGCCGCGUGAGUGAUGAAGGCUUUCGGGUCGUAAAACUCUGUUGUUAGGGAAGAACAAGUACGAGAGUAACUGCUCGUACCUUGACGGUACCUAACCAGAAAGCCACGGCUAACUACGUGCCAGCAGCCGCGGUAAUACGUAGGUGGCAAGCGUUAUCCGGAAUUAUUGGGCGUAAAGCGCGCGCAGGCGGUUUCUUAAGUCUGAUGUGAAAGCCCACGGCUCAACCGUGGAGGGUCAUUGGAAACUGGGGAACUUGAGUGCAGAAGAGAAAAGCGGAAUUCCACGUGUAGCGGUGAAAUGCGUAGAGAUGUGGAGGAACACCAGUGGCGAAGGCGGCUUUUUGGUCUGUAACUGACGCUGAGGCGCGAAAGCGUGGGGAGCAAACAGGAUUAGAUACCCUGGUAGUCCACGCCGUAAACGAUGAGUGCUAAGUGUUAGAGGGUUUCCGCUCUUUAGUGCUGCAGCUAACGCAUUAAGCACUCCGCCUGGGGAGUACGGUCGCAAGACUGAAACUCAAAGGAAUUGACGGCGGCCCGCACAAGCGGUGGGAGCAUGUGG
rnacentral:rRNA from 2 species